AAUGAACGCUGGCGGCAGGCCUAAUACAUGCAAGUCGAGCGGAGCGGCGGACGGGCGAGUAAUGCCUAGGAAUCUGCCCGGUCGCGGGGGAUAACGUCAGGAAACGGGCGCUAAUCUCGCACCCUACUUGAUGAGCCUAGGUCGGAUAAGCUAGUUGGUAGGGUAAAGGCCUACCAAGGCGACGAUCCGUAACUGGUCUGAGAGGAUGAUCAGUCACACUGGAACUGAGACACGGUCCAGACUCCUACGGGAGGCAGCAGUGGGGAAUCUUGGGCAAUGGGCGAAAGCCUGAUCCAGCCAUGCCGCGUGUGUGAAGAAGGUCUUCGGAUUGUAAAGCACUUUAAGUUGGGAGGCGUUACCUACAGAGUAAGCACCGGCUAACUUCGUGCCAGCAGCCGCGGUAAUAC
rnacentral:rRNA from 1 species